rnacentral:rRNA from 1 species
AUUGAACGCUGGCGGCAGGCCUAACACAUGCAAGUCGAACGGCAGCACAGAAGAGCUUGCUCUUUGGGUGGCGAGUGGCGGACGGGUGAGUAAUGUCUGGGAAACUGCCCGAUGGAGGGGGAUAACUACUGGAAACGGUAGCUAAUACCGCAUAACGUCGCAAGACCAAAGUGGGGGACCUUCAGGCCUCACACCAUCGGAUGUGCCCAGAUGGGAUUAGCUAGUAGGUGGGGUAAUGGCUCACCUAGGCGACGAUCCCUAGCUGGUCUGAGAGGAUGACCAGCCACACUUGAACUGAGACACGGACCAGACUCCGACGGAAGGCAGCAGUGGGGAAUAUUGCACAAUGGGCGAAAGCCUGAUGCAGCCAUGCCGCGUGUAUGAAGAAGGCCUUCGGGUUGUAAAGUACUUUCAGCGGGGAGGAAGGCGGUGAGGUUAAUAACCUCGCCGAUUGACGUUACCCGCAGAAGAAGCACCGGCUAACUCCGUGCCAGCCGCCGCAGUAA